UUACAAUUCGCCCCAGAACGAACGAAUUCUUUCCCUAAGUCUCCCCUAAUCCUCGCUUUGCCAAGAAGAAGUGAUAUCCAAUUCAGCUACAAAAUCAUCAUCAACUUCCAGCUUCUUGUACUGCUCGACCAAAGACUUGGUUCGCUCAAUUCCUUAGGAGGCAUUACGCUUUUUAGCAGCCAUUUUCGCCUUGUAGCCGUCCAUCCUUGCUUGAAGCUCCUUUAUCUGUGCAGCCAAACUGGUCAUCAAAGAGUCUUAAUCAUAACCUCGGAAGAGAUUUCUUUCAAUUCGUCCUCGACUUUGUUGAUCUCUAGAAGCAAAGACUCUUUUUUAGAUACAGUGCGAAGAUAUUGAGUACUCUUGGCCUUUAGUACAACAUUUUUGGCCAGCAAGGAGAGAAUCUCGGAAUGGACAACUUUCAACGUCGCUUUAAAAUCAGCAGAAAGAUUGAGCGACGGAAGUGUCAGUGCUUGCGCCAAUUUCGCACUCAAAUGCUCAAGCUUAUCCUUAUGUUUGACAGUACUAGCCUGACCGAUGUCCAUAUCCAUAAAGGACACAUACUCAAAUAUCGACUGCUUGAGGAACUUCAUAUCUUCCUCUGAAGAAGUAGAAGGAUGACCUAUUGAAGCAGGGUGAGACGCCUUGACCUGCCCCCAGGAAGUGAACAUGUCCUGGAUGGAACGCACAAUCUUAUCAGCAUCCUGCAAAGAAAAUUGCCAACAUUGAAGGUUUUCACUACAAUGAACAAAGUGGAAGUAAAAGUGAAGCAAAGAUUACCUCGUCAGCAAUCUUGGGAGGUGGCAUAUCCCUAGCCAAAUCUACCACCUGUGGCUCCACCACUUGUGAGGACUUUCCCUUGUUUGGGCGAGAAGACUUUGCCACAACGGGCAAACCCAUGGGAGCAUCUGCAAAACU
rnacentral:lncRNA from 1 species